GGGGGGAGGCUGGAUCCUGGGCUGUGUCCGGCGCCCUGUGCUCCCGGUCUGUGCUGUUGAAUUCGCGCUCCUGGCCGUGCAGCCGCCU
rnacentral:pre_miRNA from 1 species